GUCUAUAUCCAUACCACCCUGAAUGCGCCCAAUCUCAUCUGAUCUCUGAAGCUAAGCAGGGUCAGACCUGGUUAGUACUUGGAUGGGAGAAAUAUAAGUGAGUACACACA
ensembl:rRNA 5S_rRNA 5S ribosomal RNA